rnacentral:rRNA from 1 species
UACGUAGGUGGCUAGCGUUACUCGGAAUCACUAGGCGUAAAGCGCGUGUAGGCGGCCCGGUAAGUCCGCUGUGAAAGUCGGGGGGCUCAACCCUCGGAUGCCGGUGGAUACUGUCGGGCUAGAGUGCGGAAGAGGCGAGUGGAAUUCCUGGUGUAGCGGUGAAAUGCGCAGAUAUCAGGAGGAACACCAAUUGCGAAGGCAGCUCGCUGGGACGUGACUGACGCUGAGACGCGAAAGCGUGGGGAGCAAACAGG